rnacentral:rRNA from 1 species
GGGAAUAUUGCACAAUGGCCGAAAGCCUGAUGCAGCGACGCCGCGUGAGGGAUGAAGCCUUCGGGUUGUAAACCUCUUUCGGCAGGGAAGAAGCGAAAGUGACGGUACCUGCAGAAGAAGCACCGGCUAACUACGUGCCAGCAGCCGCGGUAAUACGUAGGGUGCGAGCGUUGUCCGGAAUUAUUGGGCGUAAAGAGCUUGUAGGCGGUUUGUCGCGUCUGCUGUGAAAAUCCGGGGCUCAACCCCGGACUUGCAGUGGGUACGGGCAGACUAGAAUGUGGUAGGGGAGACUGGAAUUCCUGGUGUAGCGGUGAAAUGCGCAGAUAUCAGGAGGAACACCGAUGGCGAAGGCAGGUCUCUGGGCCAUUAUUGACGCUGAGAAGCGAAAGCAUGGGGAGCGAACAGGAUUAGAUACCCUGGUAGUCCAUGCCGUAAACGUUGGGAACUAGGUGUGGGCCUCAUUCCACGAGGUCCGUGCCGCAGCUAACGCAUUAAGUUCCCCGCCUGGGGAGUACGGCCGCAAGGCUAAAACUCAAAGGAAUUGACGGGGGCCCGCACAAGCGGCGGAGCAUGUGGAUUAAUUCGAUGCAACGCGAAGAACCUUACCAAGGCUUGACAUAUACGAGAACGCGGCAGAGAUGUCGUUCUCUUUGGACACUCGUAUACAGGUGGUGCAUGGUUGUCGUCAGCUCGUGUCGUGAGAUGUUGGGUUAAGUCCCGCAACGAGCGCAACCCUCGUUCUAUGUUGCCAGCGCGUAAUGGCGGGGACUCAUAGGAGACUGCCGGGGUCAACUCGGAGGAAGGUGGGGACGACGUCAAAUCAUCAUGCCCCUUAUGUCUUGGGCUUCACACAUGCUACAAUGGCCGGUACAGAGGGCUGCGAAACCGCAAGGUGGAGCGAAUCCCAAAAAGCCGGUCUCAGUUCGGAUUGGGGUCUGCAACUCGACCCCAUGAAGUCGGAGUCGCUAGUAAUCGUAGAUCAGCAACGCUACGGUGAAUACGUUCCCGGGCCUUGUACACACCGCCCGUCAAGUCACGAAAGUCGGUAACACCCGAAGCCGGUGGCCCAACUCUUUGAGAGGGAG